UACGUAGGGUGCAAGCGUUGUCCGGAAUUAUUGGGCGUAAAGAGCUCGUAGGCGGUUUGUCGCGUCUGCUGUGAAAACUGGGGGCUCAACCCCCAGCCUGCAGUGGGUACGGGCAGACUAGAGUGCGGUAGGGGAGAUUGGAAUUCCUGGUGUAGCGGUGGAAUGCGCAGAUAUCAGGAGGAACACCGAUGGCGCAGGCAGCUCGCUGGGACGGUACUGACGCUGAGGCGCGAAAGCGUGGGGAGCAAACAGG
rnacentral:rRNA from 1 species